rnacentral:rRNA from 1 species
UACGGGAGGCAGCAGUGAGGAAUAUUGGACAAUGGCCGAGAGGCUGAUCCAGCCAUGCCGCGUGCGGGAGGACGGCCCUAUGGGUUGUAAACCGCUUUUGUUGGAGAGCAAUAAGAGUUACCGUGUAACUUGAUGAGAGUAUCCAGCGAAUAAGCAUCGGCUAACU